UGAACUCAGGAUUUAAGAAAAAGAUACAUUUCCUAUCUGUCCAUUGCAAGGAGCUAGGACCUCCUGCUUUGUAUAUGGUGAGUUAAAAAAAAAACAAAACCUGGAAGCAAUGACAGACACCCUGGUAGCAUCCAGCACACAGUAUUCACAUCGUGGUCUCUAAUACCAUUCCCCACUGAAAGGAACCAAGCCGGGGCCCCUUGGAGAAACAGCAGAUCCUGAAAUCUAAGUAGGACUGGGGCAGUUCUAGAAAGCAGGGAAGACACGGAAGUCAGAUCAAAAUGUCAAAAAAGCUAGGGUGAAGGGAUCUCCUACUGGCCAAAUUUGGUUACAUUUGAACAUGAAGGAAGAAUGAUUACAAUGAAUUGUGUGUUUUUUGUUUUUU
rnacentral:lncRNA from 1 species